ensembl:snoRNA SNORA73 Small nucleolar RNA SNORA73 family
CCGACGUGGACAUCCAGCGAGCUGCUCUCCUGGCUCUGUCCUGGUGGCCUAUGGGAGCGUAGUGUCCGGCCGAGACGUACAGUCCCGUUCCACGCCGUCGGAGACAGAGCUGUGUCCCCGGCCUUGGCUGGUGUGGACCGGCGUCCUGCAUAUUCCUACAUCUUCCCAGAGCCCUAACGGGCCGUUACUGGGGGGCUAAACCAUGCAGUGCACAUUC